rnacentral:rRNA from 1 species
AUACGUAGGGUGCAAGCGUUAAUCGGAAUUACUGGGCGUAAAGCGUGCGCAGGCGGUUUUGUAAGACAGAGGUGAAAUCCCCGGGCUCAACCUGGGAACUGCCUUUGUGACUGCAAGGCUAGAGUACGGCAGAGGGGGAUGGAAUUCCGCGUGUAGCAGUGAAAUGCGUAGAUAUGCGGAGGAACACCGAUGGCGAAGGCAAUCCCCUGGGCCUGGACUGACGCUCAUGCACGAAAGCGUGGGGAGCAAACAGGAUUAGAUACCCUGGUAGUCCACGCCCUAAACGAUGUCAACUGGUUGUUGGGGCUUCAUUGACUCAGUAACGAAGCUAACGCGUGAAGUUGACCGCCUGGGGAGUACGGCCGCAAGGUUGAAACUCAAAUGAAUUGACGGGG